rnacentral:rRNA from 1 species
GACGAACGCUGGCGGCGUGCUUAACACAUGCAAGUCGAGCGGAAAGGCCACUUCGGUGGUACUCGAGCGGCGAACGGGUGAGUAACACGUGAGUAAUCUGCCCCUGGCUUUGGGAUAGCCACCGGAAACGGUGAUUAAUACCGGAUACGACCACUUCUCGCAUGGGAUGGUGGUGGAAAGUUUUUUCGGCCAGGGAUGUGCUCGCGGCCUAUCAGCUUGAUGGUGAGGUAAUGGCUCACCAUGGCUUCGGCGGGUAGCCGGCCUGAGAGGGUGACCGGUCACACUGGGACUGAGACACGGCCCAGACUCCUACGGGAGGCAGCAGUGGGGAAUAUUGGACAAUGGGCGGAAGCCUGAUCCAGCAACGCCGCGUGAGGGAUGACGGCCUUCGGGUUGUAAACCUCUUUCAGCAGGGACGAAGCGCAAGUGACGGUACCUGCAGAAGAAGCACCGGCCAACUACGUGCCAGCAGCCGCUGUAA